ACUAUUCGCUAAAGCUCCAGAGCACAUGAACAUGAUGCUUGUGCUUCCAGACAUUCUGAGGAGGGACUUCGUCCUGAAAAUGCUGUCCGAUGAAAGAAAGAAGCAAGGUUGAUGGGAAAGAAGGUCCUUCUCUAGUAAUGGUGUGACAUAACUGAUGAGAAAAUAAGCAAGGUU